GUCCAACAUUAUCUGCGCUAACGCUGCUGGGCUCCCAAGGUUGCCAGUUCCCCUGGGGCUGUGACCUCAACUCUCAGAAGGAACUUCGGCUGCUGCGACGAACGUGAGGGGCAGUAGCGCCAGCGCAGGGGGACUCCGCUCGGCGGCAGCCCAGCGCGCUUUCCCGUGGAAGCUUCUGGACGCCCGGCUCCCGGCUGCAGAAGCCCGUCUCUGCUUCUGCUUCCCGAUCAGCUGCCGCCCAGUGAGGCUUUAGCAACAGUGUUUUGGUGCUGGUGGAGCAAACUCACGCCCCUGGCCAGCCUUUUCAGCGACUGGUGCCAAGAGUCCUAGUUCACCAGCGCCGCCCCUUUAAGAGAUUUAGACUGACUGCAGACAUUUUGUAACUUUUUAAAGGGGGCAAAGGGCAGUUCCCAGAAGGAAAACAGACCGUGACCCCGUGAAAGAACCCUCACGGCUCCCCAGCUGUUCCCGUGGGAGAUGGAACGGAGCCCAAGCAGCUCUAUGACCACACUAGUAGAGACCCGGCUCCUUCGGAGUGGCCAAGCACCUCUUCCCCUGCGCCCAGGGCCGAGACUGAAAACCAAUUUUUUUUGCUCGUGGGUGGGAUUUCCCCAGAGCAAAGGGCAAACAAAUCUUUAGCGGGUAACAAUGAGGAUUAGGAGUACAAGUCGUCUGCGUCGUUUGUCUUGGCUGCCGCUCUACGCACUCACCAAGGUCCACCCUCUCCAGUCGUCUCCCAGUGGAAGAAAGAGAAGGAUGAAGGCCUUUGUUUCUUCUACCCAAAGAAAGGCGAGUCAGCAUUUUCUUUACCAUCCAACUAACCCCAGUAAAGAAGCAAAGCAACUGAGAGAGAUGCCCUAGCCAGAAUGCCUUGGUUCUCACCCUAGGGGUGCAAAAAGGUAGCAGGCUCUCCCAUCUCUAUCUCCAGAAAAUUGCUGGCAAAGUGAAGGAGCUACCUAAUAAAGAGUCCUCCCAGCCCAGCAUCCCAAGACAACCAAGGAAGAGGUGAAGAAGCCAGUACUGCACAGGCACAGAGCUUGCCUACCCUGUGAUUCUGGCGACAGAAGAAAUAAUCCAUAAUCAAAACCCCUCCACCACUGUGGCAGAGCAAGGGGUCUGCAUGGCAAGUGUAAAUGCCUAGCAAGGGGCAGCCUUGGCUCUGUCUGGAGAAAGUUUGGUGAGCUCCGAAGAGGAUAGGGAUCCCCUUCCAUACCAAGCAGCCCACCAGGACUAAAAUCAAGGUGGUAGAACUUCUUUCUUGUUCUGGGCCCAUCUCUUCACCCCCUCACUUACCAUUAAUGCUAUGGAGUUUUUCCAGUAUUCCAGUCUUUUAAGAGGAGAUUAUUUUUACUGGAAUUUGCAACAUAAGUGACUGCUUCAUCGAGCAGAGUAUAUGUGGCAAAAUUAACCAAGCAGUUCAUAAAAAAAAAAACCUUGCCAUUAAUAAUUCACAUUUCUAUAGCAGACAUUUAGCAAGUUACUAAGGGCUUUCUUCACAAAAAAGCCUUGGAGUUGAAUAGUCGUAUCCUCUUUAGCUUAUUAAAGCUAAGAAGACCAAGGCUCCCAGUGGCUGAAUAAAGGGGUGGGGAGAGGAAUAAACAUUUAUAUGGUACCUACUAUGUGCCAGGCAUUGUGCUAAGUGC